GGGCUGUUAGUUUAAUAGUAAAACAAGGGAUUUGUAACUCCUAGACGACGGAGCGUUACCGUCACGGCCCUCCA
rnacentral:tRNA from 1 species